GUGCCAGCCGCCGCGGUAAUACGUAGGUGGCAAGCGUUGUCCGGAAUUAUUGGGCGUAAAGGGAGCGCAGGCGGGAAGGUAAGUCGGUCUUAAAAGUGCGGGGCUCAACCCCGUGAUGGGAUCGAAACUAUCUUUCUUGAGUGCAGGAGAGGAAAGUGGAAUUCCUAGUGUAGCGGUGAAAUGCGUAGAUAUUAGGAGGAACACCAGUGGCGAAGGCGACUUUCUGGACUGUAACUGACGCUGAGGCUCGAAAGCCAGGGGAGCGAACGGGAUUAGAAACCCGCGUAGUCC
rnacentral:rRNA from 1 species